UUGACACUAAAACAGUGAACAAUGCGAUGUAAAAAUGACGAGCUAGGUAGAGUGUUAUCCGGGGCCUGUUUACAAAGACAUGCUACAUACUGCGUUAUUUGGUAAGCCAAGCUGAUACGCAGGUCAAGCUGAAAGUGUAGAGCCAGACUUCUUGGCGAAUCUCUUUCUGUUGAUUUGUCAUCUAUAAUUUCUACAUAACCUAUCAAGACAUCCAGGGAAUCUACUUUACUAUCUAAAAAUUGUAGUGACACACUUUACUUACUGUUGUUGUCUGCUUGUGUUUUACUUGCAGUUGAAGUCAGUUUCCAAGAGCUGUACAUUCAAGAUUCAAAGCUCAAGGUUUAGUGUUCAUGCAGGUGUUGCAGGCAGUGGACCCACAAGAUCUACUCCAAUUCAAUGCCAAGCACUCUUCAUUGGGAUAGAAUUAAUUAUGACCUCUGUGGUGCAUUUGCAGCUGUCUGUAGUGAUAUGAUGCCCAAGUGCCCACAACAGGAUUACCUCACGAUCGAGUCUCUUCAUUAUAGCUUCUCUUUGUCCGUCGAGUACACUUACUUACUCCGUUUGCUUGGACAAUAUUUUGAGUUUGCGUGCAUGUAACUGUAACUCAACAAAUGUUAGUUGCUUCUAUUAAGUAUGUAACCGUAAUUAAAUGCACAUAUUCACAAA